rnacentral:rRNA from 1 species
UACGUAGGGGGCAAGCGUUGUCCGGAAUUAUUGGGCGUAAAGAGCUCGUAGGCGGCCUGUCACGUCGGAUGUGAAAGCCCGGGGCUUAACCCCGGGUCUGCAUUCGAUACGGGCAGGCUAGAGUUCGGUAGGGGAGAUCGGAAUUCCUGGUGUAGCGGUGAAAUGCGCAGAUAUCAGGAGGAACACCGGUGGCGAAGGCGGAUCUCUGGGCCGAUACUGACGCUGAGGAGCGAAAGCGUGGGGAGCGAACAGG